rnacentral:lncRNA from 1 species
GUAUAUAAUCUCAACGCUCCCGGACUGAGCUUUUCCCAUUUGUAUUUUCUCCACGUGGAUUUUCCUUGGCUUCUUAUGUCUUCUCUGGGGAGCUGCUGCUGCUCAGGUCUUGUUCGAGUAAUGAUGGGGUGCCUGCGGGCCUUGGCUGCCUUUCCUCGUGUAUGGUGCAUUGACUGUCAACUGUUUUCAUUCCCCUUGGGUCAGAUUGCCGUCUCCGAGACACGGCGGCGAUAAUCACCUAUAUUUACAGCCCGCAUGAAACCUGUGUGCGCUAGAGGUUUUAUAGCGCAAACACAGGCGGCAGCCAUGGAGGUCUGUGGAUGUUCUUAGAAUCACACUGCUGAGCACAGCGAACGGCCCUCGAGUGCUCACUAAGGCGGCCUCAAGUGUCUCCGGGGAGCUUUUCAUAUUAACUGCUGUAUGACAGUAUCACCAAUCGACUUUGAGCUUCAUGAGAAGGCAGAUUUCCCCGAGGUAUCACCAGAUUUAUGUAUAAUUUUUGUUGACUUAAUUUUUCCCUUAACAUAUCCAUUUGAUUCUUUUAAAAAAAUUGGAAAUAUUCAAAACAUAACCUCUCCAAAGAGUGAAUAAAAGUCAUUGGUGCUUAGAAUGUUCUGGAAUCUGGCUGGGUCUAGACAUGGGCCGAUGAAUAAAAGAGUUCAACAAUACCUUUGAUUCCUAAUAACUUCUUUCACGUUCCAUUCUGACAAGGACUGUAGGCAAGCAAAAAAAAAAAUUCUUUUAUUAUUUUGUAAUUUGGGACUUAAUAUAUUUCUGUGAUGGUUUCUCCUCCUCCUGUGAAGGGGAGAGGAUUUAAAAGUUAUUACUCUGUGUCUAGUUAAGAAAUAAAUAUCCUUGGCAGUUUAUGCUUCUUUUCCAGAUAAAUGGGUAUUUUACAUCUGUAGAGGGAGGGAUGCUGUGUUCCGCUCCUGCAAAGAAAUGAGUUACAGCAUGAGGUGCUGGUUAAAUGGUUGUUUGGACUUGUGUGACUGAAUAUUGAAUUUCCUUUAUAAGACAGUGGAAUGGUAGGUCUGGGCAGGCAAAUGUGAUACAAUUCUUCCAGGCUCUGUAUAUUGUAAAUGUUUGCUCCCUCCCAUUUCACUGUGUGGACUAGAGAUAAAGCUAUAUGAUGCAUGGGUGAGGAUGUGGGCAAAGAACCCUACUAACCUGUUUUGUUUUGUUUUGUUUUGUUAAAUGAAGUGUUAUCAUGAGAUCAUAAUAAGCAAGGUAGGACAGAUGUAGAAAAAAGAAAUACUACAUAUUUUCUCUCAUUUUGAAGCCUAGACUUUCUAUAGAUGGACAAGACCAUUUUUAUAUUUGAUGACACAGAAGGGAGACGGGAGAAACCAUUAGGACUGGGGAAAGAGGGAGAUGAAGUGAAGAGCAGGAGGGAGGGUGAAGAUGGUGAAAAUGCAUGUGACCCAUUUAAACUAUGAAGCUAAGCUCUUUGGACAAUAAGUACCCUGCACCCCCACCCCCAUGCCCCCAAAACAACCUCCUGUAAUUUGGGCAUCCUUGUAAAAUGUGUGAGAUCAAUAUUUAUUUUACUUGGAAGAUGGGUUAACAACUGUUUUCUAGGGUUGAUUUUGAAGUUGGUCUGAAUGUAAUUUGGUUUUGCAGUCUAGGAAUCGACCCCGACUCUUACCGAUGGAGUCUUUGCCCUGGAUGUGAAUCUUGGUAUUUACAACUUCGUAAUAAAAGACAUGGGUUGGCUGUU